UUUCAUGUGAGGAUGAAAAUCGCUUUGGUGAAAGGCACAAAGUCUGAGGCCUGCUACCUAUUUAUUCUUGUAGAGUUUUUUUUUUCUUUUGGUUUUUUUUUUUUUUUUUGUUGCUGCUAUUGUUAAAACUCAUGUUUUUAUACAUUUUGGUUUAAAGGCAUAUUAGAGUCUAUCAUAGUAUGUCAAGGACCUAAAAAAUCCUUGGUUGAAAAUGAUGUAGCUACUUAUUUAGUAGACGUUUCUCAUGGUAAUGACGGGCUAGUAUAUAUAUUUUUUCCGUUUUAUAGCUAAUUUAAUCAAUCAAUUUGCGUGGAUUGGAGCUAAAAGAAUUGAUGAAGCAGGGUAGAAGGAAUCUGACAAAGAGGAGGCAUGCAUGGGCUGCAUUAUAUCUGAGGGUGACCUGUUUAUGGAUGGUACUUAGUUGGGCUUAUUGGAACCAAUCGCAAAAAGUAGCCUGUAUCCAAGCCAACAUUACCAGGCAUGGAUGGUUGUACCUGCAACAAACGAGCUCAAACAUGUUAUCCAACAUUGUACGGGAUUGCACAAAUACGAUUACAUAAAUUGUGUUAUUUGUAUUAAUAGUACCCUUUUAGAAAAGACAAAAAAGCGGGUCGGGAGGUUUUAGGCACAUUUGAUGUGUUGCAGGUGAUUCUACUUUGUUUCUUGAAGAAGGUACUGCUGUAAUGGGCUCAGAGAAGGAUGAGAUCUGUUGAUAAUUGGCCUUUAUGGUUGAAGAUUACAGUGGAUAGGCUUGAAGAGAACAUACUUGUGGCCUAUAACUAAAGACUGUAAUCAAGGACGGUUAUAUUCAUCGGAUCUUCUUUUGAUUCAACUUUGUAGAUAGAAUGAUUGUUCCAAACAGAAGAUUUGAACCGGGUAAUUAACAAAUGUGGAUUGUUCGCAAUUAAUUGUUGUAUUUCAAAUUUGAUGUGUUGUUGUACCUAAACUACCUAUUAGUCAAAAAGCAGAGACGGAAGUUGACGUUGUGAUGGCAACUCCGGAUAUCAUACCACUGAUAAAAGGUUGUACAAGUUCUAUGGUUGAUAGUUGAUACCUCAUGUAAGCUAUGAUAAGGUCUUAUCAAUCAUGUGGAAGCUAAAAGUUUAAUUGCAUUCGGUUGUACAUGUGCAUGAUUUAAUUUAAUUUAAUGUAUAAUCUUACUAUAAUUUUUUGUUUUGUUUUGGUAAGAUGCACUGGUGCCGUCCUUUGGUUCCUAUGUAGAUGUUUUGUAGGCAGUUUGUAGCAUAUUUUCCUAAGGUUAUAAUUAUUACAUGUUGUAAGUUGUGUUCAACUGAUACAUAGCUAAGGUUAGUGGUUGCAAUUUGUUGCUAUAUGCUUUGUAUUUAUGGACGUGACUUUUUA